rnacentral:misc_RNA from 1 species
CAACCCUCAAGCACUGCUUGGUAUUGGGCUCCGCUGGUUGCAGCGGGCCUUAAAAUCAGUGGCAGCGCCGUCUGAGCUCUGAGCGUAGUAAAUAUCCUCGCUAUAGAGACCAGGUGGCUCUCGUCAUCAACCCCCAACUUUCUAA